rnacentral:rRNA from 1 species
GAUGAACGCUAGCGGCAGGCUUAAUACAUGCAAGUCGUGGGGCAGCAUGAAUGUAGCAAUACAUUUGAUGGCGACCGGCAAACGGGUGCGGAACACGUACACAACCUUCCUAUAAGUGGGGAAUAGCCCAGAGAAAUUUGGAUUAAUACCCCGUAACAUAAUGAUGUGGCAUCACAUUAUUAUUAUAGCUUCGGCGCUUAUUGAUGGGUGUGCGGCUGAUUAGAUAGUUGGCGGGGUAACGGCCCACCAAGUCUACGAUCAGUAGCUGAUGUGAGAGCAUGAUCAGCCACACGGGCACUGAGACACGGGCCCGACUCCUACGGGAGGCAGCAGUAAGGAAUAUUGGUCAAUGGACGCAAGUCUGAACCAGCCAUGCCGCGUGAAGGAUUAAGGUCCUCUGGAUUGUAAACUUCUUUUAUCUGGGACGAAAAAAGGCGAUUCUUCGUCACUUGACGGUACCAGAUGAAUAAGCACCGGCUAACUCCGUGUCAGCCGCCGCUGUAAAAC